ACGAGGGGCCCGAGCGUUAAUCGGAAUCACUGGGCGUAAAGCGCGUGCAGGCGGUGCGAUAAGUCGUGCGUGAAAGCUCCCAGGCUUAACCGGGAGAGGACGUGCGAGACUGUCGGACUAGAGGCAGGUAGAGGCAAGUGGAAUUCCGGGUGUAGUGGUGAAAUGCGUAGAGAUCCGGAGGAACCCCGGUGGCGAAGGCGACUUGCUGGGCCUGAACUGACGCUCAGACGCGAAAGCAUGGGGAGCGAACGG
rnacentral:rRNA from 1 species